rnacentral:pre_miRNA from 1 species
UUGUUACUCCCUCCGUUCCGAAUUACUUGUCUUGGAUUUGUCUAAAUACGGAUGUAUCUAGACUCAUUUUAGUGCUAGAUACCUUCGUAUCUAGACAAAUCUAAGACAAGUAAUUCGGAACGGAGAGAGUAUUAC